ACCAAGAUUUAAAGAAAACUCAAAACUUUCAAACAAUUUUACUAAGACGUAAAGAAACCUGCGACAUAUUACUUAAUAGUUCAAAGCACAAAAUGAUAAGGAAACAUUGAAGUAAUACCUAUCCUAUAUUAUUUAAGCCUAUACAGACCAGAUCCAUGAGGUACUGGGUAUAAUGUCAAAAAAACUUAUCUUUAUAGUUUAGUGACAUCUGCGCUGUUAUAUAUACACCUACAACUUUUACCAAACAUAACAACAUUCAUUAUACAGAAAAGAUCAAUGUUAAACUUUUAAUCAUGGGUUGGCAAGACGAACUUUUAACAUUCGUGGCUGAUAACUUAUACAUUUAUGUUACACUGUAUUUGAAAGCGGGUAAACGUAUUGUUAGCGUUGCUGAUGUUUUACAACUAUAUUAUCGAUUAAAGUUUGAACGUCGACGUUGUUUGAAAGAUUACAUCAUCAACCAUCAGUCGCCAUUCCGCGUUGGAAUAUUCAAAUCAUAAAGUAGAAACAGGAGGCGUUCUCACCGCUUAUCAAUCGCUGGAAUUAUCGGGUAUUGAGAAUAUAAAAAGCGACCACACCGACCACACAAUCAUCAACGCAUUCCAGACAAAUCUCAACGAAAUGGAUGGAAAGAUUGUUUUUGCUCUUCUUCUCUUGAUGUCUCUUCAAGCCUCUGUGGUCUUCGGACAUUGGAAUGAACGCAAAGGUGCCGAGCCGGAGUUCCCACCUGUACUGGGCACAGAUUCAUGGUCCUACAAAAAGGACGCAAAUGACGGAUGGUGGAAGAAUGCAGAAGAUGGAUGGUGGAAGAAUGCAGAAGAUGGAUGGUGGAAGAAUGCAGAAGAUGGAUGGUGGAAGAAUGCAGAAGAUGGAUGGUGGAAGAAUGCAGAAGAUGGAUGGUGGAAGAAUGCAGAGGAUAUAUGGGUUUGGAAACUAUAAGAGUUAACCACCAGUGAACUUAUCAUUCGACGGAAUAUUGAGUUCAAUAAAAGGAAAUGAAAUGUA